rnacentral:rRNA from 1 species
AUACACCUACGGGUGGCAGCAACAGGGAAUCGUACGCAAUGGACGAAAGUCUGACGUCGCAAUGCCGCGUGGAGGAUGAAGGCCUUCGGGUCGUAAACUUCUUUUAUAGUAAUAGAGAUGUUAUUAAGAAUAAGUGACUGCUAACUCUGUGCCAGCAGCAGCGGUAAUACAGAGGUCACAAGCGUUAUCCGGAUUUAUUGGGCGUAAAGCGUUUCGUAGGCGGCCCUGAAAGUUAUUUUUCAAAGACCACGGCUUAACCGAGGGAAGGGAGGUAAUACUACAGAGCUUGAAAUAUGGUGGGGCUUCUGGAACUGAUGGUGUAGUAGUGAAAUACGUUGAUAUCAUCAGGAACUCCAAGGGCGAAGGCAGGAAGCUAACCAUUUUUUGACGCUGAGGAACGACAGCUAGGGGAGCGAAAGGGAUUAGAGACCCCUGUAGUCCUAGCCGUAAACUAUGCUCGCUAGGGGUAGGAGCCCCGUAAGCUAACGCGUUAAGCGAGCCGCCUGGGGAGUACGGCCGCAAGGCUAAAACUCAAAGGAAUUGACGGGGACCCGCACAACCAGUGGAGCAUGUCUACCGUACAUGAACCCAGAAAUGGGAUCAAAUCUAAAUUUAUUUGGAUGGUAGAACAGGUGUUGCAUGGCCGUCGUCAGCUCGUGCCGUAGGGUGUUCCCUUCAGUGGGGUAACGAGCGCAACCCUCGCCCUGAGUUAAAUAUUCUCAGGGGACUUUCUGAAUUUAUUUCAGGAGGAAGUGAGGACGACGUCAGGUCAGCAUGGCCCUUAUGACUGGGGCUACACACAUGCUACAAUGGAGCCGACAGAGGGUAGCCAAGCCGUAAGGCGGAGCUAACCCCAUCAAACGGCUUCUCAGUUGGGAUUGAGGGCUGCAAUUCGCCCUCAUGAACGCGGAAUUGGUAGUAAUCGCGCAUCAGCUAUGGCGCGGUGAAUACGUUCUCGGGUCUUGUACACAAUCCGCCCGUCAAGUGAGUGAAGUUGGAGAUACCUUAAGUCCCGUUGUACGGGACCAAGGUAGAAUCAGCGACAAGCACUAAGUCGUAAAUUUGUUGCGACUCCAGAACGGGGAACAGUCAUGAACAAGGUAUCCGUACUGGAAGGUGCGGAUGGAUCACCUCCUU